rnacentral:tRNA from 1 species
AUCCCGGUAGCUUAACGCCUAAAGCAUUAGACUUGUAAACUAAAGAUGGAAACACCCCCCCCCGAGAU